AGAGUUUGAUCCUGGCUCAGGACGAACGCUGGCGGCGCGCCUAACACAUGCAAGUCGAACGAGAGAGAGGGAGCUUGCUUCCUCAAUCGAGUGGCGAACGGGUGAGUAACGCGUGAGGAACCUGCCUCAAAGAGGGGGACAACAGUUGGAAACGACUGCUAAUACCGCAUAAGCCCACAGCUCGGCAUCGAGCAGAGGGAAAAGGAGCAAUCCGCUUUGAGAUGGCCUCGCGUCCGAUUAGCUGGUUGGUGAGGUAACGGCCCACCAAGGCGACGAUCGGUAGCCGGACUGAGAGGUUGAACGGCCACAUUGGGACUGAGACACGGCCCAGACUCCUACGGGAGGCAGCAGUGGGGAAUAUUGCACAAUGGGGGAAACCCUGAUGCAGCGACGCCGCGUGGAGGAAGAAGGUCUUCGGAUUGUAAACUCCUGUUGUUGAGGAAGAUAAUGACGGUACUCAACAAGGAAGUGACGGCUAACUACGUGCCAGCAGCCGCGGUAAAACGUAGGUCACAAGCGUUGUCCGGAAUUACUGGGUGUAAAGGGAGCGCAGGCGGGAAGACAAGUUGGAAGUGAAAUCUAUGGGCUCAACCCAUAAACUGCUUUCAAAACUGUUUUUCUUGAGUAGUGCAGAGGUAGGCGGAAUUCCCGGUGUAGCGGUGGAAUGCGUAGAUAUCGGGAGGACACCAGUGGCGAAGGCGGCCUACUGGGCACCAACUGACGCUGAGGCUCGAAAGUGUGGGUAGCAAACAGGAUUAGAUACCCUGGUAGUCCACACCGUAAACGAUGAUUACUAGGUGUUGGAGGAUUGACCCCUUCAGUGCCGCAGUUAACACAAUAAGUAAUCCACCUGGGGAGUACGACCGCAAGGUUGAAACUCAAAGGAAUUGACGGGGGCCCGCACAAGCAGUGGAGUAUGUGGUUUAAUUCGACGCAACGCGAAGAACCUUACCAAGUCUUGACAUCCUGCGACGGACAUAGAAAUAUGUGUUUCCUUCGGGACGCAGAGACAGGUGGUGCAUGGUUGUCGUCAGCUCGUGUCGCGAGAUGUUGGGUUAAGUCCCGCAACGAGCGCAACCCUUACUGUCAGUUACUACGCAAGAGGACUCUGGCAGGACUGCCGUUGACAAAACGGAGGAAGGUGGGGAUGACGUCAAAUCAUCAUGCCCUUUAUGACUUGGGCUACACACGUACUACAAUGGCGUUAAACAAAGAGAAGCAAGACCGCGAGGUGGAGCAAAACUCAGAAACAACGUCCCAGUUCGGACUGCAGGCUGCAACUCGCCUGCACGAAGUCGGAAUUGCUAGUAAUCGUGGAUCAGCAUGCCACGGUGAAUACGUUCCCGGGCCUGUACACACCGCCCGUC
rnacentral:rRNA from 1 species